UACGUAGGGAGCGAGCGUUGUCCGGAUUUAUUGGGCGUAAAGCGCGCGUAGGCGGUUUCGUAAGUCGGUUGUGAAAACUCCAAGCUCAACUUGGAGCCUGCAUCCGAAACUGCGAUGACUUGAGUCUGGUAGGGGAACACGGAAUACCUGGUGUAGCGGUGAAAUGCUUAGAUAUCAGGUGGAACACCAGUGGCGAAGGCGGUGUUCUGGGCCAGUACUGACGCUAAGGCGCGAAAGCGUGGGGAGCAAACAGG
rnacentral:rRNA from 1 species